UACGGGGGGGGGCAAGCGUUGUUCGGAAUUACUGGGCGUAAAGGGCUCGUAGGUGGCCAACUAAGUCAGACGUGAAAUCCCUCGGCUUAACCUGGGAACUGCGUCUGAUACUGGAAGGCUUGAGUAUGGGAGAGGGAUGUAGAAUUCCAGGUGUAGCGGUGAAAUGCGUAGAUAUCUGGAGGAAUACCGGUGGCGAAGGCGGCAUCCUGGACCAUUACUGACGCUGAGAUGCGAAAGCGUGGGGAGCAAACAGG
rnacentral:rRNA from 1 species